ACAACCCUAAUCUGAAAUCUCUGAAAAAUUCAUCAGUGCUUGAGAAAGUGGUUAUUGGAGUUUGAUAGGUGAGGAUACUCCCAAAACAUUUACACGGCACUUGUACAGAGCACUGACGUUGUUGUUGUAAAUGUUUUUCGAGUAUCUUCUCCUAUAAACUUCAAAAUCUAGAUCCCACAAGACACGGUAUUUGACAAAUCUGAAGACGCUUGAUCUCGGCUUCUCCAAAAGAUUGAUACAAACACCAAAUUUCAAAGGAACGCCAAAUUUGGAGACUUUGCAUCUGAAGGGAUGUAUAAAUCUUGAAGAGAACACUAUCCUUGGGAUAUUGCAAAAAGCUCAUUUUCUUAAAUUUGAAGGAAUGUUAAAGCCUUAAGAGGCUUCCAAGUAGUUUUCGCGCGGCUUGCAAUUUGAAGUUCUGGAAACUAGUCCAAGUUGAUUGAAAAUUGUUUGAGCUGACUAACAGGUAGACAGGAAAGCGGUCCAGACUAAUAGGAGUUACCAGUUGAGUUGAGGAGCACCCCAUCUUCCGGAGGUGCUAAUUGGUUGAUUCUUUUGUGUAUAUAUUGUGUAUGUCACUCAAUAGAGGCUCGUAGGUGCCCGAUGUGGGUUGUGUGGUUCCACGACGUGGGUAGUAUGCAUGUGUAUAAGUAUAUUGAAAUAUGAUUGUAUAUCAGAGUAUUAUAUUUUGUAAUGGAAAGCAGAUCUUCCCCUUAAAGUUAACAGAAAAUCGAUAAGUGACUGUGGAAUAGAUUAAGAAAAUGAUAGCACGAGCGGUGCUCGGUGGUUAGCCUCGGGUACCCGUCGCGGCCCCUAGUCGGGUCGUGACAGAAGUGGUAUCAGAGCAGUUCGUCCUAGGGAGUGUCUACGAGUCGUGUCUAGUAGAGUCUUGUUUAUCGGUGUGUUGUGCACCACAUCUAUAAACAGGAGGCUACCGGGAAUUUAGGAAAGUUGACCAUCCUUCUUCUUAAUAGAUCGUGCGAUAGAGCUGUGUUAUAAGAUUAUUCCUCCUCUAACGGUGCGUUAUAAUUUCAGCUAAGCUGAUGAAAAGAAAAGCUACGGCGGCCCAGAAGGGCAAGAUGGUGGUUGAAGAAAGGCUUGAUCGAGAGCCGUCUAUAGAUAUAGAGGAAGGUGGAUCCCAGAAUAAGGCCCCACCUCGAUGUUCCCAUACUCCGUCCACAUUUGAGGACCAAAGGGGAGCCUCGUUCUUAGCUCCAGUACCCCCCGUUCCUUGGCAAGAUACCGCGGGCCAAGAGAUGAGACAGGCCAUUCUUUUACUGACUCAAUUGGUAGCCGCUCAAACUCAGCGCCAUAAUGCGGGUCACGAUGACAGGGGUUGGAGAAAGGGAGUUAAUUCUUUUGGGUCUGACCAUGAGA